rnacentral:tRNA from 1 species
GUUCAUGUAGCUUAACACACAAAGCAAAGCACUGAAAAUGCUUAGAUGGAUCUAAAUCCCGUAAACA